AAAACAGGUUGAAGUACAGGUGUCAGGUGUGUCCCUCUGUUGUCAUGGUAACAUUAGGUUGUAGCUGUAGUAACCCUGGACUCUGCUCCUCACAGCCUGACGUGGAUCCUCCUCCUCCUGUUGCUCCUCCAUCAGGGUCACAGAGAAGCAGCUGUGAGCGACACCGAGGCAUCGUCAGGUUUAAACACACAGACGGACACUCACACGCCGCUGCCAGCUCCAGAUGCAUUGAGGACGCCGUCCUGUGAGGUUAACCGCACAUAAGGACAAACACUCGAGUCAUUACCAUGAAGACAAGAAGCUAAUUGCAGCCAAUGAGCCAAUUUACCCAUCAUGCUUUGCUUCUGAUUCGUGUGAGACAAACUGGAGUCUCAUUACGACAAGCGACUUCUACAAACAGCGACCCGCCCCGACGUGAGGCACAGAAACACCUGUACCUCUGAGGUUCAUCCACAGGGAGACUCAGGAGGAGGAAGGAACCAUGACAGAAGACUUUCAGAUUAUUAAA